rnacentral:misc_RNA from 1 species
GAAAUGCGAUAAUUAAUGUGAGUUGCAGAAUUCAGUGAAUCAUCGAGUCUUUGAACGCACAUUGCGCCCCCUGGUAUUCCGGGGGGCAUGCCUGUCCGAGCGUCAUUGCUGCCCUCAAGCACGGCUUGUGUGUUGGGCUUCCGUCCCUGGCAACGGGGACGGGCCCAAAAGGCAGUGGCGGCACCAUGUCUGGUCCUCGAGCGUAUGGGGCUUUGUCACCCGCUCCCGUAGGUCCAGCUGGCAGCUAGCCUCGCAACCAAUCUUUUUAACCAGGUUGACCUCGGAUCAGGUAGGGAUACCCGCUGAACUUAAGC